UACGUAGGUGGCAAGCGUUGUCCGGAAUCACUGGGCGUAAAGCGCGCGCAGGCGGCGAUCUACGUCUGGGGUGAAAGCCCGGAGCUCAACUCCGGGACUGCCUUGGAUACGGGAUCGCUUGAGGAUUGGAGAGGCAAGGGGAAUUCCACGUGUAGCGGUGAAAUGCGUAGAUAUUGGGAGGAACACCGGUGGCGAAGGCGGCUCCCUGGUCCGAUACUGACGCUCAUGUGCGAAAGCGUGGGGAGCAAACAGG
rnacentral:rRNA from 1 species